AUGCCGAUGCUGAUGCAACUAUGGAAUGAUUGGGAACUACAGCUACUGGUGCUCCUAAGCUUCACGCUACAGAUUUUCGUCUUCUUUUCUGGUGGCCUCCGGCGGUGCAGUACCAACUCAGGACUGAGGCUUCUGAUUUGGUUGGCUUACUUGCUAUCCGACGUGGUCGCAGUCUAUGCUCUUGGCCAGCUUUCAUUACAUGAGAGUGAUGUGCCUGGAGCUGGAGAAAUGCACCGGCUCUCGUUUUUCUGGACGCCUUUCCUCCUCAUUCAUCUUGGUGGGCAAGACACCAUCACCGCUUUCUCCAUUGAGGACAAUGAGUUAUGGCCGAGGCACAUGCUCAAUCUACUGGCCCAAGUUGGCUUGGCCUUGUACGUGUUUUGGAAGUCAUCAGCACACAGCCAGUUUCUGAUCCCAGCCAUAUUUGUCUUUGUGGCUGGAAUCAUCAAGUACGUGGAGCGGACAUGGGCUCUCAAGUGCGCAAGCCGAAAUGCCCUUAGGGAUGAUGAUUCUACUUAUGUGAAAACAGGUCAAUUUCCUGAUCUACAAGGCGAGCUGGAAUUGGACUAUCUGACAAUUGUGAAGUAUGCUUUGUCUAGUGCACCAGGUGUCAGAAAUCUAUUUGUUGGUCGCAAGCUUGCUAAAAUGGAAGGUAACAUACAGACAACAUUUACCGCUGGUAAUGUUUUUCAAGUACCAGCAGAUGGGCAACAUAUAUUCAAAAUUCUGGAGAUUGAGCUAGGGCUGAUGUAUGACAAUCUGUACACCAAGGCAAGGGUGGUUCGAACAUGGCUUGGGGCCAUACUCCGAUGUCUCACUCACAUUUCACUGGUAGUUGCUUUUGUGCUCUUCCUUGUGGGUAACAAGCAAAGGUAUUAUAGUAGAGUUGAUGUUGCAAUAACCUAUGCAUUGUUCAUUGGAGCAUUCCGCACUGAAGUUUGUGCCGUCUUCUUGAUGGUGAUGAUGUCUCCAUGUACAUGGGCAUUCUUGGAAUCCUGCAAGUGCCGGAGGCUUGCCCGUGUGGCCUGGUCUAUUUUCAAGAGCCUACAGCCAGAGUCAAGGCCAAGGUGGUCAAAUUCCAUGGGGCAAUACAAUUUUCUCAAUUCCUGCUGCUUCUCUGAGUCGAUGAUGGGGAAAAUGAUGAAUCUGGUAGGAGCCAAGGAGCUCUGGCGCAACUUCCGGCAUACCAAGAGCGUUCAGAUCAAGGCAGAGUUCAAGAAUGUCAUCUUUGAAACUAAGCAUCAUCCUGGGUUACUUCACGGUGGUACAAGCCCAUCACCGGGUCUUGGUCCAGCAUUGGACACGAUACUACAGAAACCCUUUGAGGAGGCCAUCCUGUUCCUACAUGUCUACACAGACAUGUUCUUGCACCGGUACAAGAAUCCCUCGGGGACAAGUUGUGACAUCACGGAGAAGGCACGCCAGCUUAUGGAUACAUGCAGGAGGAUAUCUGAAUACAUGAUUUACCUGUUGGUCUUGCAUCCUACCAUGCUCACCAUGGCCAGCAGCAACAUAAGCGACAUACUGAAGGAAGCUUCGGAGAGCGCGGCCAACGCCGGUGCUAUCGGUUCCACAGACCACAAAGGAACGGUUCCUGGACAAACUGGCUACGGAUCAGUACCUCUAUGCCCCAAGUAG
rnacentral:rRNA from 1 species